CAUGUAGGCGGCAUGACAAGUCUGGUGUGAAAUAUCUCGGCUCAACCGAGAAAACGCACUGGAAACUGUCAAGCUUGAGUAUCGGAGGGGAAGCUAGAAUUCCUGGUGUAGGGGUGAAAUCUGUAGAUAUCAGGAAGAAUACCGGUGGCGAAGGCGAGCUUCUGGCCAGAUACUGACGCUGAGAUGCGAAAGCGUGGGGAGCGAACAGGAUUAGAUACCCUGGUAGUCC
rnacentral:rRNA from 1 species